CUCAGAUUGAACGCUGGCGGCAGGCCUAACACAUGCAAGUCGAGCGGUAGCACAGAGAGCUUGCUCUCGGGUGACGAGCGGCGGACGGGUGAGUAAUGUCUGGGAAACUGCCUGAUGGAGGGGGAUAACUACUGGAAACGGUAGCUAAUACCGCAUAAYGUCGCAAGACCAAAGUGGGGGACCUUCGGGCCUCAUGCCAUCAGAUGUGCCCAGAUGGGAUUAGCUAGUAGGUGGGGUAACGGCUCACCUAGGCGACGAUCCCUAGCUGGUCUGAGAGGAUGACCAGCCACACUGGAACUGAGACACGGUCCAGACUCCUACGGGAGGCAGCAGUGGGGAAUAUUGCACAAUGGGCGCAAGCCUGAUGCAGCCAUGCCGCGUGUGUGAAGAAGGCCUUCGGGUUGUAAAGCACUUUCAGCGGGGAGGAAGGCGUUAAGGUUAAUAACCUUGGCGAUUGACGUUACCCGCAGAAGAAGCACCGGCUAACUCCGUGCCAGCAGCCGCGGUAAUACGGAGGGUGCAAGCGUUAAUCGGAAUUACUGGGCGUAAAGCGCACGCAGGCGGUCUGUCAAGUCGGAUGUGAAAUCCCCCGGGCUCAACCUGGGAACUGCAUUCGAAACUGGCAGGCUAGAGUCUUGUAGAGGGGGGUAGAAUUCCAGGUGUAGCGGUGAAAUGCGUAGAGAUCUGGAGGAAUACCGGUGGCGAAGGCGGCCCCCUGGACAAAGACUGACGCUCAGGUGCGAAAGCGUGGGGAGCAAACAGGAUUAGAUACCCUGGUAGUCCACGCCGUAAACGAUGUCGAUUUGGAGGUUGUGCCCUUGAGGCGUGGCUUCCGGAGCUAACGCGUUAAAUCGACCGCCUGGGGAGUACGGCCGCAAGGUUAAAACUCAAAUGAAUUGACGGGGGCCCGCACAAGCGGUGGAGCAUGUGGUUUAAUUCGAUGCAACGCGAAGAACCUUACCUGGUCUUGACAUCCACAGAACUUUCCAGAGAUGGAUUGGUGCCUUCGGGAACUGUGAGACAGGUGCUGCAUGGCUGUCGUCAGCUCGUGUUGUGAAAUGUUGGGUUAAGUCCCGCAACGAGCGCAACCCUUAUCCUUUGUUGCCAGCGGUCCGGCCGGGAACUCAAAGGAGACUGCCAGUGAUAAACUGGAGGAAGGUGGGGAUGACGUCAAGUCAUCAUGGCCCUUACGACCAGGGCUACACACGUGCUACAAUGGCAUAUACAAAGAGAAGCGACCUCGCGAGAGCAAGCGGACCUCAUAAAGUAUGUCGUAGUCCGGAUUGGAGUCUGCAACUCGACUCCAUGAAGUCGGAAUCGCUAGUAAUCGUAGAUCAGAAUGCUA
rnacentral:rRNA from 1 species